rnacentral:tRNA from 2 species
CAGGGUGUAGCUCCAAUUGGCAGAGCAGCGGAUUCCAAAUCCGCGUGUUGGGAGUUCGAAUCUCUCCACCCCUGCCA